rnacentral:rRNA from 1 species
GCAACCUCAAUUUGAAUAAGAUUACCUGCUGAACUUAAGCAUAUCAGUAAGCAGAGGAAAAGAAACUAACUAGGAUUG